GCCCUCUAAGGAAGGCACCUGGAGAGUUUUCAGUACUCUACCUGUCUCGGCUACAGGAGGAAGAGUCAGGCAGAGGCCUAGCCAUUCCAUUCCUUGCUUGGGCAGUGGCUAGUGAGUGGAAAGCAAUCUGCUACAAGU